AGGUCCGCGAUGUAUCCGAAGAACUGGCAGAAAAUCUUAACUUCAAGGAACAUCUAGAUAAGAAGUCGGAAAUGUACACGUUAGUGAUAAACGAAAACUGAGUACAGCUAUAGCUGUGAUUGGUACACCUCCCCUAAUAAUUCUGGAUGAACCCACCGCUGGAGUAGAGAAAGCACAUCGAUCCGAUGUUUUGGACGUCCUGAAGAGCGUGAAUGAUUGUGGCAGUUCGAUUUUGCUGUCCUCGAACAAUAUUGAAGAUUUCCAGUCCCUAUGCAAUCGAUUAGCUUUGAUAAAGCGUGGAAAACUCGUUGCAAUCGGACCAGUCGAGAGCUAUAGAAACCAAUCAACUCGUGGUUUGAUUUUAAUGGUCAAGGCUAGACCUCAUGCAUUGGUUCAAGAACUGGGGUAUGGACGAGCAGAAAUAAGUAACCAGCUGUAAUAAACAUUAUUGCACAAUUUUUGAUUGCCAAUUUUGGAAAUGUUUACUUACUGGAAGAAAUACAAGGCGAUAUGUUGUUUUACAUUCACAAUACCACAGUUCCCCUGGCCAUGGCCUUUCAAAUAAUAGAGAGAAACAGACAUGACCUUUACAUAUCUGAUUUCUAUUUGAAACAUGAAAACAUGGAGCUAUCUUUUGUGACUCAAAACUUUAGAAUACUUCGGUGAAGAUGUUAAGUGUUUUCUUUGUGAAAAUAAAAUCACAGUCUCAAAUUAGUCCGCUGUAAGUUUUAUCGUAAAAAAUUAAUGGAUAUUCCGCAAGACUCGGAGUCACAUUUAACUAUGGGGCAGUUAAAUAAUGAUGCUUCGGCAAGAAACAAAGCCGAAUCGUAAUUUAGUGUCUGUAUUUCGCCAUGUGAAAGU